rnacentral:rRNA from 1 species
UACGUAGGUGACAAGCGUUGUCCGGAUUUACUGGGCGUAAAGAGCGCGCAGGCGGUCGAUCAAGUCGAGUGUGAAAGCCCCCGGCUCAACUGGGGAGGGUCAUUCGAUACUGAUCGACUCGAAGGCAGGAGAGGGUAGUGGAAUUCCCGGUGUAGUGGUGAAAUGCGUAGAGACCCGGAGGAACACCGGUGGCGAAGGCGGCUUCCUGGUCUGCAACUGACGCUGUGGCGCGAAAGCUAGGGGAGCAAACGGG